AGAGUUUGAUCCCUGGCUCAGAUUGAACGCUGGCGGCAGGCCUAACACAUGCAAGUCGAGCGGAUGACAGGAGCUUGCUCCUGAAUUCAGCGGCGGACGGGUGAGUAAUGCCUAGGAAUCUGCCUGGUAGUGGGGGACAACGUUUCGAAAGGAACGCUAAUACCGCAUACGUCCUACGGGAGAAAGCAGGGGACCUUCGGGCCUUGCGCUAUCAGAUGAGCCUAGGUCGGAUUAGCUAGUUGGUGAGGUAAUGGCUCACCAAGGCGACGAUCCGUAACUGGUCUGAGAGGAUGAUCAGUCACACUGGAACUGAGACACGGUCCAGACUCCUACGGGAGGCAGCAGUGGGGAAUAUUGGACAAUGGGCGAAAGCCUGAUCCAGCCAUGCCGCGUGUGUGAAGAAGGUCUUCGGAUUGUAAAGCACUUUAAGUUGGGAGGAAGGGCAUUAACCUAAUACGUUAGUGUUUUGAMGUUACCGACAGAAUMAGCNCCGGCUAACUCUGUGCCAGCCNCCGCGGUAAUAC
rnacentral:rRNA from 1 species